rnacentral:misc_RNA from 1 species
CCUCCUUUCUAAGGAAAUCGAAAAAUAUGAAAACAAUUAUUUUCGAUUUAAAAAAAAUCGGUUAAUGUGACCGUCCUCAUUUCUCUUCUUUCAAUGUCUCUAAGUAAAUCGAGGGGCCGGUAGCUCAGGUGGUUAGAGCGCACCCCUGAUAAGGGUGAGGUCGGAAGUUCGAGUCUUCCUCGGCCCACCAAUAUUAUGGGGGAUUAGCUCAGCUGGGAGAGCGCCUGAUUUGCAUUCAGGAGGUCAGCGGUUCGAUCCCGCUAUCCUCCACCAAGAAACACUUAGUUAUUUAAUUCGUGAAUAUUUUUAAUAUUAUCAAUAUCUAUAUCCGAUUGUUCGAAUAGAUGAACGAUCAUGAAUGUUCGAAUAGAUGAACAUUCCAACAAAAUUUGAUUCAACGCAGAAUUUUUUUCUGUGCAUAAAUCAAGCGUUUAAGGGCGUGUGGCGGAUGCCUGGGCACUGAAAGCCGAUGAAGGACGUGGUAUACUGCGAUAAGUUUCGGGGAGCUGUAUGCAAGUUUGGAUCCGAAGAU